rfam:Clostridium sp. Maddingley MBC34-26 contig_334_1, whole genome shotgun sequence.
CGAGUGAGACGUGCAAUCGCUGCUAGACUUUGAUCUAGGAGAGGAAAGUCCGAGCUCCACAGGGCAGAGUGCUGGAUAACGUCCAGUCAAGGCGACUUGAAGGAAAGUGCAACAGAGAUAUACCGCCUAAGUUUUACUUAGGUAAGGGUGGAAAGGUGAUGGUAAGAGCUCACCAGCGUGUUGGAGACUUCACGGCUAUGUAAACCCCACUUGGAGCAAGACCGAAUAGAGAGGCAAUUAAGGGGCUGCCCGUCCCGCCUCUGGGUGCGUCGCUUGAGCUUACUGGCAACAGUAGGCCUAGAUAGAUGAUUGCUUAAUACAGAACUCGGCUUAUGGCUUAUCUCGCAUC